UGGCGGCGUGCCUAUACAUGCAAGUCGAGCGGGGUUGUUUUAGAAGCUUGCUUCUAAAACAACCUAGCGGCGGACGGGUGAGUAACACGUAGGCAACCUGCCCAUCAGACUGGGAUAACUACCGGAAACGGUAGCUUAAUACCGGAUACAUCCUUUCCCUGCAUGGGGAGGGGAGGAAAGACGGGAGCAAUCUGUCACUGAUGGAUGGGCCUGCGGCGCAUUAGCUAGUUGGUGGGGUAAUGGCCUACCAAGGCGACGAUGCGUAGCCGACCUGAGAGGGUGAUCGGCCACA
rnacentral:rRNA from 1 species